UACGUAGGCAGCGAGCGUUGUUCGGAGUUACUGGGCGUAAAGAGUGCGUAGGCGGUUUUCUAAGUUUGGUGUGAAAUCCUGCGGCUUAACCGCAGGGCUGCCUUCUAAACUGUCGGGCUAGAGCACGGUAGAGGCAGAUGGAAUUCCCGGUGUAGCGGUGGAAUGCGUAGAGAUCGGGAAGAACAUCAGUGGCGAAGGCGGU
rnacentral:rRNA from 1 species